UCAAACGGCAGAGGUGGCAGACAUGUUGAAGAGUUUAUGAGGGAUACGGCAGAGGAGGAAACGGACGGUGGCAUCACAGGAAGGAAGGAGCGUGAAGCAGCAGCAGGGACGGAGGGAGAAAAAGAUGAAUCACCGUGCUUUCCAAGUAAAGGCAAAGGAAUUAUUUAAAUACCAGCCUUGAACUUAGUGGGUUGUCGCAACAACUUUUAAGUGUUUUUAUUGUGCUUAAGUGCUUUGGGCUAAUAAAUAAUAGGGUCAGCGGGACUUCCUUUUGAUUUAAGUUUUUUUUUUUUUCAGAAGGUUUUUAUUCAUAAAGUACAGCGAGAUAAGAAAUCGGGCCGCGUGGAAGAACAGAGGAGAAAUCUGAGUGGGGAAAAGGAAUGAGAUCAACACAACGGGAGGCCCACAGGGAGUGCAACAAGCGCAGGCGUGGGAAUAUGAAAAGCAAACUGAACACGAAGAAGACGACGGGUGGAAGAUGAAAGAGAAAACCAAACUAAAGCGAGUUCCUCAUCAUCCCGUUCCUCUCGGUUUCCCCUCGUCUCCGCUCAUCUGGCUCCUCUUUGUCUCGUCUCUCUUUGGAGACAACGCCGGAGCUUAAACGCAUUGGCUCGGGAGUCGUUAUUAGUAUCCGCACCAAUUGAGAAGAGCAAAUAUGAUCUGGGCCGAAGUCGAAAUGUUCCCGUUUGGAAAUAACAGCUGGGAGGUGAUUGUUACGGAGCUCUCUCUCAGACAGGAGACGCAGCAGAUGGAGAUUUAAAAAAAAAAAAAAAAAGAAGAAAAAAAUCAAGAAUAAAAUAUCUUGAAAUUGAUACAAAAUCUAUUAAAAUCCCAGUCGGGGCGCUGCAGGGAGAUGAGAACGGAGCAGAACUGAAGUCAGUAAUCGUGAUUUAAUGAUGUAACGUCAUUCAAAAAUAACCUCUCAAAUCUGCAAAAAGACUAAAAUAACGAUUAGGUAGAAACUCCAGGAUAAUUAGACAAUCCUUUUUAUUGACAACGCUUAAAUUGAGAAGAGUGCAAAAUAGAAAUAUCUGGUCAUUUUAUUCUUUUUAAAACUACAUUUUAAAACUCAAUUAUAUAUUCCAGUUGUCCACUUUUUAAACUAAAAAAAAAUAAAAUCAUUCAUUUUGGUGUCAUUCAAUAUUUUGGUUAAUUAAAGCUGGAUGUACGUUGAAAGCGAGGGUUUAGACGGAUUAAUAAAGUACAGAAAACAUAGAAUGAGAACAGACAGACAGAUAGACAGACAGACAGAUAGAUGUAAUGCUCGCUAUUGUGCGCUCCAGCCAACAGCUAUGAAAGCAGUUGAUUUCCUGUCAGAAAGACUUGGAACAAGCAUCAGUCUACGCUGGGACAAGACCAUUAGCAGGAUCAGUGGAGUGAAAAUGGAGCCCGUGUUUUGGACGACAUGUUACCAGAGUUUAUGUUCACGUAAACGGCCAAAUAUACCAAAGAGCCUCUGAAACUAGAGUGCGCCAAUAAAGUGAGUACACUCUAAAAACAAGUUAGCAAAGUACAUUGAGCAUGAUAAAUGGGGAUGUAUUCUCUUUGCUUCCUUUCCCUCCCAAAAAGGAAACUCCUUCAGAGUCUCCAAGUUAAAGGCAAAAAUGACAAGUUUGCUCUCAGCAGCUCAGAAAUAAACCCACCGUUACGGAGUAAUGGCAUUUUAUUCAACUGUGUGAUGUCAAUAAUCUGAUAGCAUAAAAGGAAGUGUAGCGAUUUUCUUUUUUUACAUGUUAACCCCUUAACCCUCAACCCUGGAAAGUAGAAUUGAAAAACGGCAUGCAGGCAGGCUAAGGGGUUUUAAAUGGCAUUUUCUUGAACUUUUUUUUUUAAAGAAAAAUUUAAAUAUUGGAAAAAGAAGACUGAAAACACAAUUUUUUCUUUUUUURAUGAUGAUUUUACAGCUGUUUUAGCGAGCAAAGGGUGAUGAGAGAAAGAGUCGUAAGUUGAAUUGUAAGAGGAUGAAGAUGAAAGAUAUGUGCAGUGCUUCCAGCGGUAAAAAUAACGUAGAAAUGCUCCUGUGAGCAAUAUUCAUGCUAACACGACAUAUUUUACACAGCACAUUAUAUUUUAUAUGUUUCAGGAGAAAGAUUCAUUUUGCAAAGCAACAAAGAUUUUUGUCAUACAAGGAAUGGACAAGUUUUCACAUUUAGAUGAAGUAAUAAUGUAAAGCAYACAAAUAUAAAUUAUUGACAUUGCUCUCCUGAAUCUUCAUUGUAUUCUUAUCUCCCUUAAGUAGAUUUCCUUAUUUGUAUUACUUGCUAUAUGAAUUUAUUCCAUGUAUUUUAAAAACCUGUUGCCCUUUUCCAUACAGUUCAAYACUUUCAAUGUCCCCAUUACUGCCAGCAUUCCUGUGAAAAGUUCUGUAAUGUUUUUUUUUUUUUUUUUUUAUACAAGUCUGGCCGUUUAUUGUGGAUUUGUUCAGCUUGAUUUUUGCCAUGUUUAAUUCAUGAGACCCCGUUAGGAGUGGACAGAAAGGCCCUGCCAAGAAAUGAAAAGGGAAAUAAUUGGCAAUCUGAAAUGGUUGUUCUGAAUGUGGAGAACGAAAGAGGGGGCAGCUGUCGCUCAUUUGGUGGCGUAUUAUUCCUGAAAUCAGGAGGUUGUGAGUUUGAAUCCAGCUGCCCGCAUCAGGCGCUGCCCGUUUUCUACCGAUCAGUGUGUGAAUGCGUCAGCACUGGGAGUGUGUAGGCACACGAAUGUACGCUAAGAAAGUACUUUGUGGUCAAUCUCUAAAUUCUGCCCAACCCAGAUGAAGAAAAAAUAAAAAUUAAUGUUGUCUUUAUGCUAGGCUAAUGAAUAAUAACUGGCUACAGACAAACUCCUUAAAGACUGGGGGGGAAAAAAAGCCUGUUUGACCAGUUCAACUUGUACUAAGAAAAAAAAAUGUCGGUAUUAAACAUUUUUCAUUAGCACCAUAUUUCAGUAUGAAAUUAUUUUUGCUGUUGGUCUGAUGUAGUAUUGUCUUAAAUGCCAUGUUUUCAUUAGCCGUUUGAUGAAAGUCAUCAUAAUUAACAACAAUAAAGGCUUGAAAGCAUCA